rnacentral:rRNA from 1 species
AACGAACGCUGGCGGCAGGCCUAACACAUGCAAGUCCAGCGAAGCCUUCGGGCUUAGCGGCGGACGGGUGAGUAACGCGUGGGAACGUGCCCUUUGGUACGGAAUAGCCCCGGGAAACUGGGAGUAAUACCGGAUGUGCCCGUCGGGGGAAAGAUUUAUCGCCAAAGGAUCGGCCCGCGUUGGAUUAGGUAGUUGGUGGGGUAAUGGCCUACCAAGCCGACGAUCCAUAGAUGGUUUGAGAGGAUGAUCAGCCACACUGGGACUGAGCCACGGCCCAGCCUCCUACGGGAGGCAGCAGUGGGGAAUCUUAGACAAUGGGGGAAACCCUGAUCUAGCCAUGCCGCGUGAUCGAUGAAGGCCUUAGGGUUGUAAAGAUCUUUCAGUGGGGAAGAUAAUGACUGUACCCACAGAAGAAGCCCCGGCUAGCUCCGUGCCAGCAGCCGCCGUAAGAC